CUGAGUGGAAGCUUAUUUUCAUGGGUAGCAGACUGCAGAGCCUUUACAGUAAAUUAAAGGUGUCUGAAGUGUGAGGAUCUGUCAACAUGACACAUUCAACUCAUCCAAUCUUUGAGACCGGUUCGGUGAUGACGCUGCUUGCACAUGGCAGCGGAUUUGCAUUUGCAUUUGUGUUUUUAUUUGUUUUUCAAUACAUUUUCAAACUGGACUUUAUUUGUCCAUGUGAUCCUCAUACCACGGUUUUUUGUUUGAUGUAUAUGUUUUUACCAUUCAUAGCACUUCUUCUCAUUCUAACUUUCAUGGAUAAGAAGUGUAUUGAGGGGUUCCGUGUGCGCUGUGGCAAAUGGGCAUGCAAUUCAUUUGACUCCUGGCAGGAUCAACUUCCUUGUAAACAGGAGGAAAGAAAGACUCAUGAGGAUUCAAAACAAAUUCGUGAUACUUACAUCUUCUCUCAGGAAAUCAGUUUGGGCUUACUCUGUGGCAUACCAGUUAUAUGGACAUUUAGUUACAUGUUCUGUAUGUGCUGCAAGACAUCUUACAAGUCUCUGUAUGAAGACUUCCAUGAAGAGGAGACCAACAUUGUUAUAAAGAAGAGAUUACAAAUGCUUGCAAAGGAUAGUGCUGAACAUGAAUGUGAAAAAAAUUUUAACAAUUUUUGUGAACCAAAAAAUGCUAAAAAAAAAAAUCUUAUUUGCUAUCAAAGCAUAAGGUUGAUCAUCUAAUCAAUAACAUAGAUCAAAUACCUAACAGACCUCAGCAGCCUCCUAAUUCCCAAUAACAGCUUAAUGGCACAACAGCCUUAAUAUCCACCUCAACAACCUCAUCAGUCACCUCAAUAGCAUACAGACAGCCUCCUGAUUCAAUUCAGUGGGAUUCUGAUUCAACUCAACAGCCUAAUGAUCCACUUCAAAAGCCUCAAACCCUAUUUAGUUAAAUUUUACACAUGUUCUCAGUUCAGUUUACAAUUGCUUCAGAGCCAGAAGAACAUAGAAUUCAAAUAAAAACUUUUUUUUUUUAAAAAUUGCUAAACUCUUGCUAACCUUUGUUUGAAUAUCAGUAUUAAAAAUGAAAUAAACAUAUUUAUAAACACAUGCCACUUAAGUACAGUAUUUAAAAUAUUGCAUAUUUUAGUUAUGUAUACAAAGUAAUCAAAUACUUUAAAAGGAUGUGAACAACACAAAUACAGGAUAUUGUAGAAGACAAAUUUGCAAUUGCUUUGAUUCACAAGCAGAAAAGUAGGGUUCUAAGAUGCACUUCAUGAGAUGGCAACUAACCAUUAUUUUUAUUUAUUUAUUUAUUUUAACAACUUAGCCACCAUAAAUCACCCUUUAUUUUUGAGGUUAUAUUUUUCUGAUUUUUUUCUCCUUGUAGACCUUUAAACCUGUUUUCAUCCAUUCUUCAAGAUUCUGCCACAUUAUUAUAAAAAGAGAGAGAAAAGAAAUAUAAGACAUCUAUAUAUACAAAAUAAAUAAAUACAAUAUUGCAGUAAAAAUGUUCAAAGCAAAUGUGCCUUAUAGCCACUUCAUAAUAUCUUAUGGCUGUUUAUAAGAAGACAUACUGUAGCAUUUUUACUUUAUUUAAAGCAGACAAAGACCACUUAUGAAUGAUUAUGACCACAUUAUAAAUACAAGAAGACAAUGCAUUUGUCAUUUGACUUAAAGUGGUAAAAGACCACUCAUAAGUUGUAGGAAGAUAUUGUGUAGUUUGAUCUUAAAUAAACAAUGCUAAAAUAUGAAACUUAUAAUACAUCAUAAACUAUGAGUCCUAUAAUGCAUUAUAACUUAAAAUAAA